UACGGAGGGUGCAAACGUUGCUCGGAAUCAUUGGGCGUAAAGAGCUCGUAGGCGGUCUGUUGCGUCCGCUGUGAAAACUCGGGGCUUAACCCCGAGCCUGCAGUGGAUACGGGCAGACUAGAGGUAGGUAGGGGAGAAUGGAAUUCCCGGUGUAGCGGUGAAAUGCGCAGAUAUCGGGAGGAACACCGGUGGCGAAGGCGGUUCUCUGGGCCUUACCUGACGCUGAGGAGCGAAAGCGUGGGGAGCGAACAGG
rnacentral:rRNA from 1 species